AGACGAGCAACUCUUCAGCAUUAUGCAGUGCAUUUGUUCUCUGGUCGAUUCCAUCCCUGAACAUGAAGUGAUCGGUCUGUCCUGUGGCAGUGAGCUUUUGCUGAAGAGGGCUCAAAGGAAGAGAAUUCUUGCCACUGGGGGUUGCAAUUCAUUGAGCAUGCAGCAGCCAGACAGCACUGUGAUUUCUGACUGCAGCCUUAAAAUAAGAUCUUCUUUUAGCUGUGAUACGUCUAGUGUUAUGUCAUCCAGCGGCUCCGGCCCUUCGGACUCAAAGAAGCCUCCUCAGAUCAGGAGAUCUUCAGUCAUCUCUGUGGACGAUGGUUGUGAUCACUCAGACGGUAUCACCAACACGAAGCCGUCGUAUAGUAGGAAAAGCGGAGCGGAUCAUGCGACAAAUCAGAGUAUCUGUGACUCCCCAUCAACCCACAGCCUGACGGGGCUGUCUUUUUAAUUCCUCUAAGAAAUCGGGGUGAUGGUUCAGAUCGCUUGUUCUUCCCAAAGAAGCCGGAGACUGUUGUUCAGAGCAAAUCUAACACUCCGGCAGCCAGUACCGCAACGGAAGACGUCGAACUAGAUGACUUUUACAAUGACUACUUUGACAUUGACGACAUCAAUGACUCCGAUGUGCCCAGUUACUUUGACGAACCCUCAAACUCCAGCACUGUGGCUUCGACAGCGAAAGAUCUGCGAUCAUGCGAGUCUCCGUGGGGGAACAAACCAACGACUCCUGCACCUGCACCUAAGCCUGCAAAGAUCUGCUCCCCUGAACCCACCUUCAGAAACCCAGCCCACGAUCGCUUCCGAGGGUUCAUUUUCCCCCACUCACAGGAGAUGAUGAAGAUUUUCCACAAGCGUUUUGGUCUUCAUCAAUUCAGGUUUAAUCAACUUGAAGCGAUCAAUGCAACAAUUCUUGCAGAAGAUACCUUUGUUUUGAUGCC